rnacentral:rRNA from 1 species
UACAGAGGGUGCAAGCGUUAAUCGGAAUUACUGGGCGUAAAGCGCGCGUAGGUGGUUUGUUAAGUUGGAUGUGAAAUCCCCGGGCUCAACCUGGGAACUGCAUCCAAAACUGGCAAGCUAGAGUAUGGUAGAGGGUGGUGGAAUUUCCUGUGUAGCGGUGAAAUGCGUAGAUAUAGGAAGGAACACCAGUGGCGAAGGCGACCACCUGGACUGAUACUGACGCUGAGGUGCGAAAGCGUGGGGAGCAAACAGG